UGGAUUUAUUUCCCUUGCAUUUAUUUUACUUUAGAACACCAUGACCCAAAGCAGAGCUCUUGAAACUCUAGUCCUACAACACAAUCUUUGAAAAAUGGGUUUCAUUUUCAGAUGCUUGGGAAAUAUUGCAUUCCCUAUGCUCCUCUUGCACAUCAAUUGUCAGCUCACAAUAAAGGCUCUGAGAAGGCCUGCAUUAUAAAACUGUGCAGACAGGGUCUCCCCAAGUUGUCACACGUGAGAUCCCGGACUCUGUUUAGUGGUUUUUGGUUUUUUUCUAAAUGCAUUUUGAACAGCCAGGGUACAGACUUCCGUGAAGACCACCCUAGAAUGCACAAACCACACAAGCCUUUCUAAGUCAUGUUGUUGAGUCUGUAAAAGAGGAGGAAAUUUGGGAAAUGGGCGGCAGGCUUUUCCUGGCCCUCAAGAGAAGAGCUCCCUCCUUUUUGCAUCGAUCUCCCUUUUCCAUAUUUACUUUGCCUCUAAUUAAUUUUUCUUAUUGCUCUUCACCCUAUUUCUUGCAGGCUAACAAAGGAUGAUCAACAUAUUAAGCCAACACUCCAGAAUGUAUAGGCUUCCAAUCAAUGCGCUGUCUUGCAAAUGGUCCCAGAACUACCCUCUCUUCAAUAUACCUCUUUUGACAGAGCUCAGCGUACAGGAAAAUCUCCUCAAAUGCAGAAAUUUGAGUGUGAAUUUAAUUUUCAGUGCAUCAAAAAAUCAUUUAGCACUAGGAAGAUAGCCUCUCUGACAGGAACGGUGUGUACCUCUAAAGAAUGGGUUCCUAUUUAAGUAUUGCUCCAGCAUUCCCUGUGUGCCAGGCGGAGGUCUCUGCUGGGGUGCAGUGGUGCACCCUGAAGUCCCGUU
rnacentral:lncRNA from 10 species